rnacentral:rRNA from 1 species
UACGUAGGGGGCGAGCGUUGUCCGGAUUUAUUGGGCGUAAAGAGCGUGUAGGCGGUUCGGUAAGUCUGUCGUGAAAUCCUGGGGCUCAACCCCGGGCGUGCGAUGGAUACUGCCGGGCUAGAGGAUGGUAGAGGCGAGUGGAAUUCCCGGUGUAGCGGUGAAAUUCGUAGAUAUUCGGAGGAACACCAGUGGCGAAGGCUGCUCACUGGUCCAUUACUGACGCUGAGGUGCGAAAGCGUGGGGAGCAAACAGG